GAAAUGCGAUAAGUAAUGUGAAUUGCAGAAUUCAGUGAAUCAUCGAAUCUUUGAACGCACCUUGCGCUCCUUGGUAUUCCUUGGAGCAUGCCUGUUUGAGUAUCAUGAAAUCUUCAAAGUAAAUCUUUUGUUAACUCAAUUGGUUUCUACUUUGGUAUUGGAGGUCUUUGCAGCUUCACACCUGCUCCUCUUUGUUCAUUAGCUGGAUCUCAGUGUUAUGCUUGGUUCCACUCGGCGUGAUAAGUUAUCUAUCGCUGAGGACACUGUCAAAGGUGGCCAAGGUAAAUGCAGAUGAACCGCUUCUAAUAGUCCAUUGACUUGGACAAUACUUUUAUGAUCUGAUCUCAAAUCAGGUAGGACUACCCGCUGAACUUAAGC
rnacentral:misc_RNA from 1 species